rnacentral:rRNA from 1 species
UACGGGGGGGGCAAGCGUCGUUCGGAAUUACUGGGCGUAAAGGGCUCGUAGGCGGCCAACUAAGUCAGACGUGAAAUCCCCAGGCUCAACCUGGGAACUGCGUCUGAUACUGGAUGGCUUGAAUCCGGGAGAGGGAUGCAGAAUUCCAGGUGUAGCGGUGAAAUGCGUAGAUAUCUGGAGGAAUACCGGUGGCGAAGGCGGCAUCCUGGACCGGCAUUGACGCUGAGGAGCGAAAGCUAGGGGAGCAAACGGG